GGGAAGUGGGGCAUGGGUAAGAUAAGGGAACUUCUUUGUCCUCCUCCAAGAGAGAGAUUUCUUAGCCCAACAUAGGGCCCUCGUGUUCUGGACUUCUACUUCUUCUUCACUUUUCUUGCUCAUUGGAUUCCAGCUCACAGCAUUGGCAGGGCUACAUUAUGACUUUGGUGCUUUAUCUGGUAAGUGGUUCACUGACUUAGCUGAGGACUUUUGUCUCCAAGGGCCCUUCCUCCACACUGACGAUCGUAUUUUGUGACUGCAGCGGUAUAAAGAUGAAUAUAAUCCAGGCUGGAUUCAUUUUUUUAAAAAUUUGUUUUAGGAUUUUUUUUUUUUUUUUUUUUGUAUUUGAGAGAGAUGGAGAGAGACAGACACAGAGCAUGCGUAAGGAGUAGGGGGCAGAUGGAGAGGGAGAAGCAGACUCUGCUGAGCAGGAAGCUGGACAUGGGGCUCGAUCCUAGGACCCCACAAUCAUGACCUGACCCAAAGGCUGCCACUUAACCAACCGAGCCACCCAGGCACCCCGGCUGGAUUCAUUUUUAUGUAUUCAUUAUCAUUAUAUCCUUUUUCUCUUCUGAUUUUAAAAGAAACCCAGCUGAAAACAUUUUCAUACGUGAAUAAAAGCAUCUUGGACCCUGGGCACCUUGUGUCCUGUGAAGAAUGGAGAAGCUGGCCUGGGGGUUGGCACAAGCACAUGACUGGCCUUCAUCACUCUAGAUUAUUGAACAUGGCUGGAGGCGCCUGGAAAAGAUGAGACCAGAGGACAAAAUUCUGAACAUGGAAUUUUAGGAAGAGAGAAAUGGCUGCACAGAGUACGAUGGACUGAAAAAGGAUGGGAUGCUGGGGAUUUGGAUGCAGGUAAAUUGAAUACCACAAAUUGGGAUUUUCCAGUAAGAGGAUAUGAGCAGCUGGGCAGUGGCUGCAGAAGCACAGGGGAAGGGGAAGACGAAGAGGUAUCAUAGAGGAAGAGUUAACAAGAUAAUAUACCUAGAAGACAAGAGAAGAGGCAGUGAAAAACAGUUAGAUGAUCUGAUGACCAAAAGACUAAGAGAAAGGUAAUACCAUUAAGGGGAAACUGAGGCAGGCACGGUAAUUGGGUGCACAAUGAUGAGUGCUGAUGUUGAAGUGAAGUAAUAGAUGUGAACAUCAUUGAGAAAAAUCUGAAGAGUGGAAUCAUAGAAAGAAUUAAGAAAGCAAAUGGUCUCAUUAAUUUUGGUCUUGAGAAGGUGGAAUUUCUACUUAAAGUCUUUCUGGCCAAAAUUUUGAGGGAAAGAGAAUCAAGACAUGUGGCUGCCUAGAAUUGGUGCCCUCGUUGUAUACAAGGGAGCUGAAGUUAUAGGAAUGGGUGAAACUGGGUUUACAAAGGGACAACAUAGAUUCACCCAGGAGAUCACGUAAGGGGG
rnacentral:lncRNA from 1 species